rnacentral:rRNA from 1 species
AUUGAACGCUGGCGGCAGGCCUAACACAUGCAAGUCGAGCGGAGCGUCGGACGGGUGAGUAAUGUCUGGGAAUCUGCCCGGUAGUGGGGGAUAACGUCCGGAAACGGGCCCUAAUACCGCAUACUAUCAGAUGAGCCUAGGUCGGAUGAGCUAGGUGGUGGGGUAAAGGCCUAACAAGGCGACGAUCCGUAACUGGUUGGAGAGGAUGAUCAGUCACACUGGGACUGAGACACGGUCAAGAUUCCUACGGGAGGCAGCAGUGGGGAAUUUUGGACAAUGGGCGAAAGCCUGAUCCAGCCAUGCGGGGUGUGUGAAGAAGGUCUUCGGAUUGUAAAGCACUUUGGGUAGGAAGGCGGUACCGACAGAAUAAGCACCGGCUAACUUCGUGCCAGCAGCCGCGGUAAUAC